rnacentral:rRNA from 1 species
GAUGAACGCUGGCGGCGUGCCUAAUACAUGCAAGUCGAGCGAACGGACGAGAAGCUUGCUCCUCUGAUGUUAGCGGCGGACGGGUGAGUAACACGUGGAUAACCUACCUAUAAGACUGGGAUAACUUCGGGAAACCGGAGCUAAUACCGGAUAAUAUAUUGAACCGCAUGGUUCAAAAGUGAAAGACGGUCUUGCUGUCACUUAUAGAUGGAUCCGCGCUGCAUUAGCUAGUUGGUAAGGUAACGGCGUACCAAGGCAACGAUGCAUAGCCGACCUGAGAGGGUGGUCGGCCACACUGGAACUGAGACACGGUCCAGACUCCUACGGGAGGCAGCAGUAGGGAAUCUUCCGCAAUGGGCGAAAGCCUGACGGAGCAACGCCGCGUGAGUGAUGAAGGUCUUCGGAUCGUAAAACUCUGUUAUUAGGGAAGAACAAAUGUGUAAGUAACUGUGCACAUCUUGACGGUACCUAAUCAGAAAGCCCCGGCUAACUCCGUG